rnacentral:lncRNA from 1 species
GAAUGAUUCCGUCCGGUUUUCAGUGGCCCCAAACUAAUGAUAGAUCAUAACAUCUUCAUUUAUGUGUUUUCUUUAUUGUGUUUCAGGUUACAAACCGGUGGCAUUAAGACAUGAACUAACUGCUUGAAUUUCCAGCAAAUACGAUCAAAAGAAUUCGGAUGUUGCAGUCUUGGUCACGCCUCUUGGAUUUUGAUGCACUAAUGUGGCUUAGACUAAGAUAAUCUCCGUCAAAAACAAAAAUGGAUGGAGGACACGCUCUGCGACACAUUUUUCCGAUGGAAACGUACAAAGUCUUCAUUGGUCUGAUAAUUCUGAAAGGCUACACGAAUGUCUCGAUUUGCCCGCAAGAGUGCGCCUGCGGGUUGGACGAGCGAGGUCGUAUCAUGGUCAAUUGCUCUCGCGGCGGCAUGAUGGAUCCUAUCCCCAUCCGUGACAUGUCGCUAGAAACUGAGGUAAUAUUAUGCUACAGCUCUCUGCUCUUAAAAGAUUCCGAAUACAAGGUACAUUUUAAAGGUCGAUCCAUUCGCUCACCAUCAUGGAUUUCUAUGGAUCAGUUGCGCUAGUCACAGAAUCGUGUUUUGAUGCUUGAUUCUUGUACAAACUAAUAAGAUCUUGUCCAAACGCAACUUUUUACGUUCAAGAUUAACCGAGAUAUCGCGCUU